GACGAACGCUGGCGGCGUGCCUAACACAUGCAAGUUGAGCGACGAACCAGGGCUUGCCCUGGGGCAAAGCAGCGAACGGGUGAGUAACACGUGGGUAACCUACCCCGAUAACCGGGACAACCCGAGGAAACUCGGGCUAAUACCGGAUGUGCUCACUGGACUUCGGUUCAGUGCGUAAAGGAAGCUUCGGCCUCCGUAUCGGAAGGGGCCCGCGGCCCAUUAGUUUGUUGGUGGGGUAACGGCCCCCCAAGACCGCGAUGGGUAGCUGGUCUGAGAGGACGAUCAGCCACACUGGGACUGAGACACGGCCCAGACUCCUACGGGAGGCAGCAGUGGGGAAUCUUGCGCAAUGCGCGAAAGCGUGACGCAGCAACGCCGCGUGGGGGAAGAAGGCCUUCGGGUUGUAAACCCCUUUCAGGAGGGACGAAGGUGCGGCGGUGAAUAGCCGUCCGGACUGACGGUACCUCCACAAGAAGCCCCGGCUAACUACGUG
rnacentral:rRNA from 1 species